UCCACAAACGGCCAGUUCCUCAAUGAUUUUUGAACCUGACUCAUCAUCUUUUCUUUUUAAUUGAAGUAUAGUUGAUUUACCAUGUUGUGUUAGUUUCUGGUGUUCAGCAAAGUGAUUCAGUUAUAUAUAUUCUUUUUCAUAUUCUUUUCCAUUACGGUUUAUUACAAGAUAUUGAAUAUAGUUCUUUGUGCUAUACAGUAGGACUUUGUUGUUUAUCCGCUUCAUCAUCUUAUUAAUUAAUAAAAUCUUUGACCUGUGUUCAUCUUAUAUUCACAUAGGAGUCAUGUUUUUAACUUCUGAAAAUCAGACUUUGACAUGCAUUUAUUAUUGCUUAGGGUAAAUAUUUAGCAGAUAAUAGUGGUACUCCCAUUUACAUAAAGGGCGUAAAUUAUAGGCAAAUAACCCAGGCUCAAACCUUCAAGAAUUUAACUUCUGCCAAGAAGCCUGGAAAGCAAGUAAAAUACAUGAGUAUUGUCUAGGGAGCAUUCUUCCCUGCCUGCAGUCAGCAGGGGCCCUUCUUAUCCUUCCAUGAUGUCAUUACCUGAUCGCUCUCAUUGUCAAUAUCUGGCAUCUAUAUUAUAUUAUAAUCAUCAGUUUUGAGAGUCUGUUCCCCUCACCAGAUCCUGAGCUUCUAGAUAGUGUCUUAUAAGUCUUAUUCGUCUUUGCAUCGCCAGUACCUAGCACUCAGUAACCUCCCAGUAAGUGUUUAUGAUGGAUGCAUGUGUGAGGGGCGUGACCUUUUCUUCCACCAGGCCCAGCUUAGGCCAGGCAUCCCCUUUUGCACUCUCAGAACACCCUCUUCCUGUUAUAUCCCUAUGUUUAAUGCCUCUCUCCCCAGGUAGAUGCAAGUGCCAUGAGGACAGGGACAGACGUUUCAGUUGACCUGGUGCCACCGCGCACCACCUUAAGCCUAAGAAGCUGCAGAGAAGAUGGGAGAACGGGGGCGAGCUCAAAGCUCUGCCCUUUGCUGCUCGGUUCACGUGUAAUGGCACUGUUGCUGUUGCUCAUCAUCAAAGCUAAAAUACAGAAUCAUUUCUUGAAGCAACGUCAACUGGAAUAUCCCAUUACUGCUGACUGGUCAUAAAAUCCUUGUCUCCUCAAUGAGCCAUCGGAGCUUCCCUGGUGGCGCAGUGGUUAAGAAUCCGCCUGCCAGUGCAGGAGACAUGGGUUCAAGCCCUGAUCCAGGAUGAUCCCACAUGCCGCGGAGCAACUAAGCCCGUGCGCCACAACUACUGAGCCUGCGCUCUAGAGCCCGCAAGCCACAACUACUGAAGCCCACAUGCCUAGAGCCCGUGCUUCACAACGAGAAGCCACCACAAUGAGAAGCCCGCGCACCACAACAAAGAGUAGCCCCCACUUGCUGCAACCAGAGAAAAGCCCACGUGCAGCAACAAAGACCCAACACAGCCAAAAAUAAAAUAAUUUUUUUAAAAAAAUUAAAAAUAAAUAAAUUACAGCCAUCCUAGUGGGUGUGCCAUAGGUGCUAAGCUUUUAAGACCAGUGUUUACAUAGAUGUGGGCCCUCAGCUCUGGUCUCCUGCUCUUGUUACAGCUUGGUAAGGAGCCCCAGUCAUCCAUCUGCUUGCCCAAGAACAGCUGCACGGGCAUAUGCACCGGAAGGAAGUUUCAUCUGGAGCAGAGGGGGAAGGACAUGCUCAUCUGCUAUACCACACCCUGACCCAGGAGGAACUAAGCCCGGCACCCCAAUUCUGGGAUGUGAGUAGUGGAUUCCAGAAGACCCUGGCUUGGGGAUCUCUACCUGGGUUGUGAGAGGCUGCUGGGAGGCACUUACCACACGGUGCCAGCCUGGAGGGCUUGGGACAGAUAAUUGGCCUUGUCCAAGUCCUUUGUGAAGACAGCUGCGGCCAGCCCGUACUUGGAAUUGUUGGCUCUCCCAACGACUUCCUCUAUGGUCUUGAACUUCAGAAUCUGCAUCACUGGCCCAAAGAUCUGGGGUUAGAGAGCACAAUGGGUGGGUGGGGCAGACACGGAACCACCUAUUACCCAGCUUUCCACAGCGCUGAGCAGAUGAUUCCAGAUGUGGUAGCAAGCCUCCAGACACACCCUAACAGUUCCAGAGGGAGAAGACAGCUCUCACACUCACUGGAAUACAAAGGGAAGGAAGCUAAGGGGACUGGUUACCUUCUGUGUGCCAUGAACCUUACAUACCUUAUCUUAUUUCUAAACAGUCCUGUGAGGUAGGGGCUUGCACUGACAGGUCACAUGGAAAUUUAGUUUCAAAGAAUUUCAGUCAGUCAUUCAACAAGGCACACACUAGAUGCUGAACAAAAAGCUAUGAACAAAAUAGGGUCUCUGAUCUCAAGAUGUUCUGAGUUUAUCUUAUACUUUCCCUGCCCUAUUUCUGAGCCAUUUCUUCAAGGCAUCCUGGUUCCUUUUAGUGGGCUUUAGUGGGCUUCAGAAACCAAAACAUGGGAGCUAGGUGUGCUUGUUGCGGUUGGGGUGUGGCUGCUCUCAGCCCUAUCAGGGGAGAGACCCCGGGGAACAGAUCCUGAUGUAAUCAAGUGAUUGGCAUGUGACCGUGACAAGUGGUGGGAGCCCAGAGGAGGUACCUGGCCUGAGUGAUGGGAGGCAGGGGAUCAGGGAAGGCCUCGAGAGGUGAUAGUCAAGCUGUGACACCACACGAGCAGAAACUGGCCAAACCAGAGUGAGGAUGAGGAGCAGGGAGGAGGGAAAUGGAGUUCCAGGCACCGGCACACGCAGCACCCAUUCUUACAACAUACGAUUCUCCACUAAAGAAACUAGGACUUCUUGAAGAAAUCACUGAUUCUAGGACUGGGUGGAGAGUGUCAAGACGGAGGUGCGAGAAGACUGCCAGGAGCCCAUCAUGGUUGGAGCGAGGACUGCGAGACGGGGCAUCUUGCACUUCGGGCACUAGCAAAGCAAAGGCAGCCCCUGCCCUUCUAGAAAAUGGAUAUUUUCCAUUUCCAUCAAGAUUAAAAAAAAAAAUAGCAUCGAAGUAGUCAUGAUGGGAAAAGAGGCAGAACUCUGUUGUACUCUCUUACCCUGAUUUUGCAUUUUAAUAUUAUUUUAUUUUGAAUUAUCCAUGAAAGGGGGUGGCAGUAUAAUGUUUUCCCUGCAUAGGGCCACUAAAGGGCUUCAUCCUGCUGGGGGAAGUGGAGUGAGUCUGAAUCCACAAGGGCAGAGUACACAUGUCGGAUACCCCUGGAUCUCCAGUGUCUGUAGAGCACCUUGCACAUAGUAGGAAUUCAAAAAUUAUUUGUGGUAAGGGAUAUGGGGAUAUAUAUAUACGUAUAGCUGAUUCACUUUGUUACAGAGCAGAAACUAACACACCAUUGUAAAGCAAUUAUACUCCAAUAAAGGUGUUAAAAAAAUUUUUUGUGAAAUGAACGAAUGAAUGAGAUGGAGUUGCUGCCCUACGUUCGUAAUCAGUGCCAAGGGGGAAAGAAGAUCAAGGGACUCUCGCCAUGUGGGGAAGUCAGCCCUUUGAUCUAGUCCAGUGUCUGCUUACAUGAAGGCCAUGAGAAGGGCUGGGAAGAGUCAUUCCUUUAACUCACAGCUCGCAGGGACCAGAACACAAAGGACCUGUAGGCUCUGCUGGGGAAUUCAGACGUUCUCCCCAACCACUGGCAGCCAUAAGAGACUGAAGAGGAGAGGCACAAGAUCAGAAGUGAAUUGCAAAUCAUUUGUCUUAUGCAUAGAGCCAGGAUUUGGCCCAAGGCCAGCGGAUGGGUCCUGGGUCAAGAUGCUGGACUGAACUGUCCGCUUCUCCUCCUAGGAACAUUCCCUCGAGCGCUGGACGCAUGCUAACCUCCUCCUUUGCGAUGGUCAUGCCAUCCUGCACGUCUCCAAACACGGUGGGCUGGAUGAAGUAGCCACGGUCAGCAGCCGCCCCUCCACCACACAGCAGCUUCGCCCCCUCCUCCUUCCCAGAUUUGAUGUAGCCAAGGACCUUCUUAAACUGAGUCUCAUCCACCUGAGGGAGAAGGAGCCCAGAGUUAGAGAUGCUACAGCCAUACCUCUCCCGGCUUCAGGCUUAGAACCACACAGGCAAGAAGCCAACUGGGAAAUGGGCCAGAUCAUGAAUAAGCAAGGCCCAAAACAUAAGAAUAGAUUCCACCAAACUCAUUAGCCCUCAAAGAAAUGAAUAUCAAAAUGAAUAUCAAGCCUACUGUUUUUGUUUUUCAAGUAUGAGAUUACUAAAAAUUUUAAAUAGUAAGAAAAUACAUUGAUACCAAGGGUAUGCUGCAUACUCUGUAAUAUUCAUACAUUAUUAGAAGGACUGAUACAACAUUAUAGGUCAAUUACACCUCAAUUUAAAAAAAAAGAGAAAGGACUGUAAGCUGGUACAGCUCUUCGGGCAAAUGGCUUAUUAAUAUCAGACAAAAAAUUAGAUGUUCAUAUCCUCUGACCCAGCUAUUUAACUUCUAGGAAUUUAUUCUACAUGUGACAAAGGGACCUGAACAAGGAUAGUCACUGGGGAACAUCUUACAGAAGCAAGAAGUGGAAACAAUCCCAAGUAUGCAUCAGUAGAGGAGCUGGUUAAUAUGGCACACCCAUAUGUUGGCAUCAUUAACAACAGACCUGUCCACAGACAGACACAGAAUGACAGCCUAAAAUGUUCUGUAAAGAGGAGGGAAGCUUGUAGGAUGAUAUAUAUUAUAUGACCCUACUUUUGCUAAAACAAACAUGCCAAAAUGUAACUCUGUGUGUAUGUGGUUACCUAUGAGGAAUGGACAUGAAGGGGACAAGGGGAUCUUAUUUUUUACUUUAAACUCUUUUUUAUGAAGUUUUUAAUACAAAUUUGUAUUACCUUAAUAAUUAUAUAGCCACAAACCACAAAGAAAAAUGAGAGAAAAAAAGACGCUGGGAUUCACAGCAGCACUAUUCACAAUAGCUAAAAAGUAGAAACAACCCAAGGGUCUAUCAGCAGAUGAAUGGAUAAAGAAAAUGUGGCCUAUCCAUUCAGUAGCAUAUUAUUCAGCCAUGAAAAGUAAUGAGCCAUCAAGUCACGAAGACAUAGAGGAAACUUAAAUGUACAUUGCUAAGUAAAAGAAGGCAAUCUGGGGGAAAAAGAAAGAAAAAGAGGAAGAAGCCUAAUCUGAAAAGGCUACAGACUAUAUGAUUCCAACUAUAUGACAUUCUGGAAAAGACAAAACUAUAGAGACAGUAAAAAAAUCAGUGGUUCAAGGGUUAGGGGGAGGGAGGAAUGAACUGGUGGAGCACAGGAGAUUUUUAGGGCACUGAAACUAUUCUGUGUGAUACCGUAAUCAUGGGUACAUGUCUUGAUUCAUUUGUCAAAACCCACAGAAUGUACAACACCAGGAGUGAACUCUAAUGUAAACUACGGACUUCAUUUAAUAAUCAUAUAUCAAUACUGGCUCAUCAAAUUAUAACAAAUGUAUCACACCAAUGGAAGAUAUUAAUAAUAGGAGAAACUAGGGGAUGGGGAGGUUAGGGGAUAUAUGGGAACUCUGUACUUUCUGCUCAUUUUUCUAAAAGAAUAGAAUCUAUUAAUUAAAAAAAAAAAAAGGCUGCCUUGGCCAGCACUGGAGCCUGGGGAGUAGACACAAGGAACGCAGACAUCCCCAGGACAAUGAAGCCUGCAGAGACGCCCCUGUUGGCCCCAGAAGUGGGCUCAGGGCCGCGUGCAAGGGAUUUGUGGGAGGAAGCAUCCCUGACCCAGUGGAUUCCUCAUCCCUGGAAGGAGGAGGCUGGAGGAGGCCAGCACAGGGCCCUGUGGAGAGUGAGCCCAAGACAGGCUGGGUCUAAGGCCAAUGCUGGAAAAAGGAUCAGGAUGUGAUGGGGUGAGGCACUGUGUUUCCUUUUGUUAUAAUUAUUAUUGACUGUAUUUUUAUUAGUUAAAACGAAUACAUGCUCACUGUAAAAAAAAAAAAAUUUUUUUUUAAAUUUUAAAUCAAACAGCUCAGAAGAGUAUAAAGUGAAAUGAAGUCCCUCUGCUACAACAGCCCUCCGCCCUCCUCCCAGACGUAACUGCGAUUAACAACAGCUGCGCUGCACGGCUUGCGGGAUCUUAGUUCCCCAACCAGGGGCUGAACCUGGGCCACAGCGGUGAAAGCACCGAGUCCUAACCACUGGACCGCCAGGAUAGUCUUGAACGCAUCAUCCUUUGAGGACUGGCAGCGUUUGAGCCAAACAUACCACAAGCCUGAGGUCCUAGGAUGCCUUACCUCAGUGGAGCCUGUGAAGGCCACUUUGUCCACAUCCUCAUGAGAGGCAACGGCGGCCCCAGCCGUGGGGCCAAAUCCAGGUACGAUAUUGACCACGCCAGGAGGAAAGCCGGCCUGUAGGCAAACACCAGGGACACUGGGAGUCGUUCUCCCGCUCCAAAGGGUCUGGACAGAGGAAUACACAUCCCCUCCCAGAAGCUGCGGCAGUCUGCCCAGCACACAGGUGAGCAGUCUUACCGGGUACUGCUCAGGAAUUCCAAAUGGUGCAGCAAGGAGCCUGUUUUGUGGAAUUCCCUGUGCCCUUUGCCCCUGCCCCCAUGGCACUCACUUAGAAUGGUUUUCAUCCUUCAGAGGGGUCUUGCAAUGAAACCCAAUGUAGAAGAGAGGUGGUGCGGGUCACUUCAGCUGAAGUGUGAUGAGCAGGGAUGAGGGGGGUUCACUCCCUUCUCUACAAAUACCCGUCCCCACUACGGGGGCCCCUCAUCAGCACUCCUAUAGAGCAAGCCUCUACAAAGGCAUAUAGAGGUCAAGAUGGACGCAAGCCACGCACCUCCUUAAUCAAGUUGGCCACAUAGAGGGCAGUGAGUGGAGUCUGCUCAGCCACCUUCAUCACAACCACGUUUCCAGUCGCCAAGGCUGGGCCCAGUUUCCAUGCUUGCAUCAAGAGCGGGAAGUUCCACUGCAAUCAACAACAGCCACUCCCGAAAUCUCGGCCGAGAGCUGCACUGGCAGCAGAAAGUGGCAACCAGGGAGCAGAAGCAACACCAGGUUUUCUGAACCUCUCGUGUUCCCCUCACCACUCAAUUGUAGAUUUAAGACAGAUAAACAAGGCAGGUGGUGGAUGAUAAUAUUAGUGACUCGCAUUCAUGCUUUUCCAUACUAGGCACCAUGCUACAUCACCGCCUUCAAUCCUCCCUACUGCCCUAAGACAGCUACUAUCACUUCUACUUUUCAGAUAAGGAAACCAAGUCCUAGGGGGAUAAGUGACUUGUCCAAGGUCACAGAGUUCACCCGUGGCAGGGCUGGUUGGCUUUGUUAAAGACCAUGUUCUCAACCACUGCCCAGGCCGCCUUCCAACAUCACCCCACAGACCCUCCCACCUUGGCAAUGAACCUGCCCAAGAUUGCUGCCUCUCACAGCACUCCUGAUAAACCUUCAUUUGUUUAUUAUGAGUCUAACACUCACCGGGAUGAUCUGCCCACACACUCCCACAGGUUCAUGGCGGG